rnacentral:rRNA from 1 species
GCUCAAUUUGAAUCUGCGUAAGCCGAGUUGUAAUUUGAAGAUGGCUACUUUGGUAAUGGCUCUUGUCUAUGUUCCUUGGAACAGGACGUCACAGAGGGUGAGAAUCCCGUGCGAUGAGAUGUCCAUUACCGUGUAAAGUGCUUUCGAAGAGUCGAGUUGUUUGGGAAUGCAGCUCUAAGUGGGUGGUAAAUUCCAUCUAAAGCUAAAUAUUGGCGAGAGACCGAUAGCGAACAAGUACAGUGAUGGAAAGAUGAAAAGAACUUUGAAAAGAGAGUGAAAAAGUACGUGAAAUUGUUGAAAGGGAAGGGCUUGAGAUCAGACUUGGUAUUUUGUAUGGCUUGCUUUCGGGCGGGUCCUCUGCAGUUUACUGGGCCAGCAUCGGUUUGGGUGGCAGGAUAAUAGCAUAGGAAUGUGGCUCUACUUCGGUGGAGUGUUAUAGCCUUUGUUGAUACUGCCUGCCUAGACCGAGGACUGCGUCUUUUGACUAGGAUGCUGGCAUAAUGAUCCUAAGCCGCCCGUCUUGA